AGACUAGUGUUAUUCAUCUUUAUUAGGUUUAUAGGGUACCUAGACCGAAAACCAAGCCUUAAUCGGGACUAGUUUUCUAGAGUUUUAUGUGAGAAAGUUGAAUGAUCAGAGUAGAGUCAGAAUUCGCUAAUACUGAUAAGACGGAUAACGGCGAAGGCUGCUUUCUAUGUAAAAAACUGACGUUGAGGUACGAAGCCCAGGGUAGCAAGAAGGAUUAGAUACCCUAGUAGUCCUGGGAGAAAAUUAUGAGUGCCAUAGAUUAGACAUAUGAUUAAUUUAUAAAUGAAAGUGUAAGCAUUCCACCUCAUGAGUAAAGCGGCAACGCCCAAAUUGAAAUCAUUAGACCGUUUCUGAAACCAGUAGUGAAGUAUGUUAUUUAAUUCGAUAACCCGCGAAAAACCUUACCACACUUUGAAUAUUAUUCAAUUUUUACAAGCGCUGCACGGC
rnacentral:rRNA from 1 species